GGUGGCUCAGUGAUAGAGCACUUGCCUUGCAUGCAUGAGGCCCUGAGUUUGAUUCCUCAGCACCA
rnacentral:tRNA from 1 species